AAGCGCCUCUCCAGCUGCCUCUCCUCCCAUUCCGUCAUCUGUCUCACCCAUAGAUCAGCCACAUCUGCAUUCAUGUCACCUGCUGACCAUCCCAUCUCCUUAAGUCAUGGUGGCCGAUAAGAAGAGAAAGCAUAAGUUAAAAUGUUAUGGAAGGAUCCCAUGUUUGUACCCCAGAUGUGCUUUCAGUUUCAGUGGAUGGAAAUUGCAAGUAUUACCAUUUAAAGAAUGCAGCAAGAUUGGAGGAACAGGCUAUAUUUCAGGACCUUUUCAUAGCCAAGGAUGAAAACGUAG